ACCAAAUCUAACCGAAUAGUUACGUAAAACCAAAACCGAAAAAGUUUCCUAGCUAAGUUAAAUAAACAUCCAUUUAAUGUCCAUUGAUCUAAACAAAAACAAAACGACAAACUCAUCAAUGUAUGAUUCGUACAAUGUCUCUACGUUCUUAGCAUACCAAACCAAAAAUCUAAACAGGACCCUACCCAUGAUCGUAAAGUGCACGUAAGUAGCAUAGAAUCCAACCCCGGAUUUAUGUCCCCGAAUCAAACCAAAUUGCAAUGCUUCUUUCACGUCCGUUUAAUCUGGCAAUUGUAUUUGUAGGAAAGAUUAUUGCUUCCGACUCCGUUUUUCAGUCAAAAAAGCCAAAUAAUCUAUGAGAGAGAAACUUUACGUCGGCUGCUCAUAAAAUACUCACAAAAUCGUCAAAAUUUUGGCCAUUUUCUCUCUAAAUUUCGUCUAAAUUUUGUACAAAUUUUUCAGUUCAUGUUGAAAUUCCGAUUGUGAAUUUGUGAUGCGUGUUUGAACGGUUGUGAUUGGAUCAUCACGCAGAUGAUAGUGUUAGAGAAGGAUUUGAUAGCGAGUUGCAAGAGAAGAAAAAACCCCUAAUUUCAACGGAUCGGUGAAGAAUAACCCUAAUUGUGGAGGUUGUCGCACAUUGCUAAUACAAGUGUCAGAUGCUCUUGUUGUCGUACUGUGAAUCUCGCACUAGUUGCCAAUCAGCUUGCUCAAGUAAAUUGUGGAAAUUGCAGAACUACGCUGAUGUAUCCAUACGGUGCUCCAUCAGUUAAAUGUGCAGUAUGUCAGUAUAUUACAAAUGUUAAUAUGAGCAAUGGAAGAAUGCCGGUUCCGGUGCGACCAAAUGGAACCGCAACAUCAGGAUCAAUGCCCCCUGUUUCUACCAUACUCCUUUGGAUGGAUGGCAGUCUCAUUUUUCUUUAAGUUCGAAGAUAUAUUCUACUUGCAUUUGGUGAUUUGUUGAUAAGAGUAAACGUUUUUUUACUACCAAACUCCUAUAAAAGGACCAAGUUGGGUUAUCGUUCCAAACACAACCAUCCAAACACCCAACUUAACAAAGAUAGAAUGAUCAUUUUCAACUUCAAGACCAACUAUCGAGUGUUGAUGAAACUAAAUUUUUAGCCGCUGUGGACAAAGCGAGAUCAACUCUUCCUAACCGAGGCAACAAAGGUAUAAUUUCGAACAUUCAUAUGAAUUAUAUAAAUCAAAAGAUAUCGAUCUGCUAGUGAACAAAUUGAAAAAGACGAUGAAACAAAGAUACGUACAUGAUAUAUAAUCAGAUGAAGUCUUGGGGAUGAGAUCUUAAUCUAGAUGGUUAAUGACACCAGUAAUUCCUUGAAAGGCUUUGUUGUUUUAACCGUCUAAACUCAUGAAACACCCGGUUACCAUAGCAUAUUGUUUGUAGCGCACCUAUUAUACUCGAGUGUGGUGUAUAUAUAAUCAUUAUAAUUUUUUUACAUGAACGUACAACACUCUUCGUCUUUACCUUCUGCUUCUACUUUUGAGUAUGAUCAAAUAGACCAGAUCGAUUUAAAGAAAAAACUCUACUUUAAUUUUAAGUACACAACGAAUAUAUAAGUUAUCAUAAAUUAAAACAUGAUGAUGUUGUAGGUUUUCAUGACGGUUUGCUCAAUCUUACGAUCUUCUACGGUUAGUUAACCUUACGAUCUUCUAUAGUUAUCUCUUUGGUCAUUAAGGUAUGAUUAUAGUUGUUUAAUAAAGAUUGUGAGGCAUUUGAGGUUAGUUAACCGUCGUCGCAUGUCGCGAGGCCCUCCAAUGAAUGACGCAGGCAACACAAUCCGUUGUCCAACUCUGCUAGGAUGAACCUCACCGGCAUGGACGCAAUCCACAAGACCUUGGUAUAAUUCAGCUCGUAUCUUACUUUGGUUUCGUUCACAAAAUUGCAAACGUGAUGUCUCAAGCUUUAUAUAAACAUCUACAACAAAUUGUUGUAGCAAUGUACCACCAAGAAAAAGCACGUUUUCGGUAGAGCAAAUUUGAAACUUGUAACAGUAGUAUUCUCGCAUAGCUACGGUUGUCAUACCCCCUCGUGGGUUAGCCCCUGAGUUAAAUAAAAAAAUAGAUAAUUAUAUUACAUUAAAAUUUAGGGUAUUAUUUAUGUGCUUGACUUGUAAAAACAUAGUUAAGUUCUUCCUACCUUCAGCCUCUUCGUCGAUGUUGUCGUAAUCAUUAUGAACAUUAUUGAUUGAUACUCCAUCACGUGGUAUGUUAGGAUGCCAACCCGUCUCACCAUUAGGGAAGAAUAAAGGAUACGAUAAUGGAUCGUAACAUCCAUAGUAUGGCUGAAUAGUUUGAGGGUAUUCGGAUCUAGCGUACACUACAAUACUUCUUUUGUAGGAAGUGAUAUUAUCAUUCCCUUCAACCCAAAUACCAGCAACCUAUAUAGAUGUGUAGUAGAAAUAAGUAUAAUAUAUAAUCUUAGAUAUAUUAACGUUAUUUGUAAAUAAAAUAGGGUAAUUAAACCUCGGAUGUGGUUGGUCGGUUGUACACCCUCUAGUCAAGUUCAACUGAAGCGUUUAGAGUGACUUUAUAGUUGUCUAGAGGACCUAGCUCCGCAAGACUUCGAAAUGUCUCGGCAUAAGGAUUUCUGGAAAGAACAAGUGCCAACUUUUGUGUAAUAUUUCGAUCAAGAUUUGGCCAUUGGAGUCUAAGAUCUAACUCGGUGUCGGGAUCAAAAAAAUAUAGUUGUAAGUACCUAGAUGUGCCAUCCCUAGGAACUAAUUGGUCAAUUCUGUGAUAUAUUUCUUUAUGUGCACGAAAAGUAUAUACACCGUCUCUCAUAUUGUUCAGCGUAUCAUCUAAUGUCACACCCAUUGAGGCGAAAGAAAAAUUGGUGUUAUAAGCGCGUAUGUUUGUCCUAAACAUUUUUCCAAUAUCAUCUUGCGAUGUGAAAAGUAGGUAUAAUUCAGCAGGAAUUUCUGAAGUUGCUAAUCUUUUUUUCCCACUCAUGCAACAAAAGGUGGGGAAUUCAUAUUUAAAUCAUUUUGCUCCACAAUAUGGACAUGGACUGCGUUCAUUUAAGAUGAGAGAUUGUCUAGGUAUACCAUCAUAAACAAAAUUAUAUGGAUCAUGUUCUAUGGUAUCGUCUCGUAUGGGUGGUUGAUCACCGGUCGAAAUAUGUGUACUCGGGAUACCAUUUGAAAUAGGUUGACUAUUAUCUCGACGUGCAGUGUAAUAUCGUCUGUUAGACUCCGGUCGUCUUUCGGCCAAACUAUGUGAGACAGGCUCAUUGUCCAUUCGUAUAGCGUGACCACUAUUAUUAGUUUGUAAAGUGCUUAGCGGUGUCCUUUCACUUGACUGAUUAGUCCUACAUGGUACGGAUGAAUUGCUUUGAGAGGCACUGCCAUUACAAACUCUUGGUUCUUUGGUAUUCUCUUUCUGCAACCAGUAUCGUCUAUUAUACUCUUUUCUUUUUCCCCGUGACGUAGAUGCAGUUGAGGCCGAUGCGCCAUUACGAUCCUUUUGUUGUCCGUUACUCAUAGUAGUAGAACGAUGAAUACCUUUUGUAUGAAUAAUAAUGUUGUGAAUAUUAGUAGGCAUUAUAUGAGCUACUACAAACACUUUUAGCUACCACUCCAUACUAACUUAAACAACUAACUAAAUAACUAAUCUAAAUGUAAAUAACUAUUCAUGUACGUUAAUGAAAACAAGAAAAUAAUAUACAACUUAAAUUCACUACCAUCGAUCUAAAUAUGCAUAAGAAGAAAUACGGAACACGUCUUUUUUUUUUUUCAUAUUCGAAUUUUUAUAAUUUUUUAGUGAUAUUUGUAUUUGUUGGAGGUUGAUUUGAAUUUUUCUUAAUUUCAUUAAGCUAUUUUGUGCAUCUAAAAUUAACAUACUACAACACUGUCUAUGUUUAAUUUUGUAAGAAAUAGCAAUAUAUUUCUUUAUAAUGAAGUAAUAAUGUAAGAAAACACCACUACAAAAUGUGUAAAUGAAAUUAUUUGAAGUAAUCUAAAAAGGACAAGUUUUGGUCAAAGUGAAUUAAAAACUACAAUAAUAAUCGAACAUUUAAAUAGCAUGAGCCUCUGGCAUGUUUGGUUGAAUGACAACGGUAGUGAACUCAGUUGACCGCAAAAUAUUGCCUAUAAGUGAAAAAUGAUAAGAGUAUAAGUUUCGUUUAAUUGAAGUAAGUCUUUAAAAAAACAAGUAUAGUAUAACAUAGUGUCUGGAGAUUGAACCAACUUGACAAGAGACACAUAGACAAUAGAUUUUCUUAACAUCGCACAGAAAGUUUUGACGAUUUGAAUCUGUGUCUCGAGUCGUAUAAAGAUAAUUGUAUCGUGUGACCGCUGCCACAUAUUAUAAUUGAGAUAGAUUAGUUAACAUAAUCAAAACUGUAAAUAUAAACCUAUUAAAAGAACAUUCUUAUUUUUCACACGAAUAGUGCCUCACGUAAAAUCUUGAAGAUCCAUAAGAAAAUGUCCAAAUCGUAUCUCACCCUUGACAAUCUUCCCAACGACAUCUAAAACCGAUAAUGAAUUGUUCUUUAUAUAUAUUAUGUAGUAACAAAGUAGCAUGUCAUAAAAGUUUGUAUGUAUCUAAACAACUUUUACGUACCAGUAAAUAUUUUUUCGUAUCUCGUGUCGUCCAAAAGAUUUUUUAUAGAAGGCACUAAUGGAUACAUACGAAACCCUCGUGGAACAUGACUGUUAAAUUGAAUAAGUUUAGUGUGCUUUGUAAAUACAAUCUUGAAUUCACUCCAAACCAAGAGGUAGUUUUCAUGUUUUGGCCAUUCUUGGUAAUCGAAUUUUUGUCUUUGGAAAUGCUUAAGUACGAACAUGUUGCCCACCAAAUUCAUAUCUUUGAAGAAUUGCAUGAAUGGUUCUGGGACAAAGCUGACCAACUUUUGUCUCUAAAAAAAUAAAAUAGUUAUUAAUAUACCAAUUACACUUUUUGGAAUUUAAUAAGAUGAACGGAUCUUACGUGUUGGUCGAGAAAAACU